GACGAACGCUGGCGGCGUGCUUAACACAUGCAAGUCGGGCGAUGAAGCUCCUUCGGGAGUGGAUUAGCGGCGGACGAGUGAGUAACACGUGGGUAACCUGCCUCAUAGAGGGGAAUAGCCUUCGAAGGAAGAUUAAUACCGCAUAAGAUUGUAGUACCGCAUGGUACAGCAAUUAAAGGAGUAAUCCGCUAUGAGAUGGACCCGCGUCGCAUUAGCUAGUUGGUGAGGUAACGGCUCACCAAGGCGACAAUGCGUAGCCGACCUGAGAGGGUGAUCGGCCACAUUGGGACUGAGACACGGCCCAG
rnacentral:rRNA from 1 species